rnacentral:rRNA from 1 species
ACGGAAGGCAGCAGUGGGGAAUAUUGCACAAUGGGGGAAACCCUGAUGCAGCGACGCCGCGUGAGUGAAGAAGUUAUUCGUAAUGUAAAGCUCUAUCAGCAGGGAAGAAAAUGACGGUACCUGACUAAGAAGCCCCGGCUAACUACGUGCCAGCAGCCGCGGUAAUACGUAGGGGGCAAGCGUUAUCCGGAUUUACUGGGUGUAAAGGGAGCGUAGACGGUAUGGCAAGUCUGAAGUGAAAGCCCGAGGCUCAACCUCGGGAUUGCUUUGGAAACUGUCGUACUAGAGUGCAGGAGAGGUAAGCGGAAUUCCUAGUGUAGCGGUGAAAUGCGUAGAUAUUAGGAGGAACACCAGUGGCGAAGGCGGCUUACUGGACUGUAACUGACGUUGAGGCUCGAAAGCGUGGGGAGCAAACAGGAUUAGAUACCCUGGUA